UCAUAUUGGGUACUUCUUUGUUCUACAUCUUAACCUACUCCAAUUUCUUGUGACUGCCAUUCAAUGCUUCUCAUGGCUCAAGUUAUCAUUAUUGAGAUUUGACUAUGUCGCAAGAUGGUAAGAUGUUUUACGACAUAUUGGGACAUUUGUGACUUUCACAUUAUUUUGAACUCCGUUCUAUCUCUUUUAUUGGACUUCAGCAAAUAGCUUUAGGAUCCUGAAUCCAACUUAACAAUAUGACACAGUGUGUAUAUCUUGGAAAAUCUCAAUAUUUGUAAUAAACAUUUCUCCAGUUAUAUUCCAAUUAGCUGAUAGAGUCUGAUGACUGGCUACUUUAGAAGAGGUACAACUAGUUCGAAACAAUUAUCAAGAAAUCAUGCGGCAAAGCACUAGCAUAGAGGCCUCUCAAAGCACGGAUUGCCUUUUCCCCUGAAAUGGUGAUCACCAACAUAAACAGUCCUGCGGCUUGCAUGAAUGUGCAACUAUUGAAAACCUUAAAAGAUUAUUUGAUUUUGAUGAUAAAAAGAAAUGAAAAUAGGAA
rnacentral:lncRNA from 1 species